GAAGUUAUAAUCACUAAGGGGUCUAGGUGAUGAAGCUAUAUUCACUAAGGGGUCUAGGUGAUGAAGUUAUAAUCACUAAGGGUGAUGAAGUUAUAAUCACUAAGGGGUCUAGGUGAUGAAGCUAUAAUCACUAAGGGGUCUAGGUGAUGAAGUUAUAAUCACUAAGGGGUCUAGGUGAUGAAGCUAUAAUCACUAAGGGGUCUAGGUGAUGAAGCUAUAAUCACUAAGGGGUCUAGGUGAUGAAGUUAUAAUCACUAAGGGGUCUAGGUGAUGAAGUUAUAAUCACUAAGGGGUCUAGGUGAUGAAGUUAUAAUCACUAAGGGGUCUAGGUGAUGAAGUUAUAAUCACUAAGGGGUCUAGGUGAUGAAGCUAUAAUCACUAAGGGGUCUAGGUGAUGAAGUUAUAAUCACUAAGGGGUCUAGGUGAUGAAGUUAUAAUCACUAAGGGGUCUAGGUGAUGAAGUUAUAAUCACUAAGGGGUCUAGGUGAUGAAGCUAUAAUCACUAAGGGGUCUAGGUGAUGAAGUUAUAAUCACUAAGGGGUCUAGGUGAUGAAGUUAUAAUCACUAAGGGGUCUAGGUGAUGAAGUUAUAAUCACUAAGGGGUCUAGGUGAUGAAGUUAUAAUCACUAAGGGGUCUAGGUGAUGAAGCUAUAAUCACUAAGGGGUCUAGGUGAUGAAGUUAUAAUCACUAAGGGGUCUAGGUGAUGAAGCUAUAAUCACUAAGGGGUCUAGGUGAUGAAGUUAUAAUCACUAAGGGGUCUAGGUCAUGAAGCUAUAAUCACUAAGGGGUCUAGGUGAUGAAGUUAUAAUCACUAAGGGGUCUAGGUGAUGAAGUUAUAAUCACUAAGGGGUCUAGGUGAUGAAGUUAUAAUCACUAAGGGGUCUAGGUGAUGAAGUUAUAAUCACUAAGGGGUCUAGGUGAUGAAGUUAUAAUCACUAAGGGGUCUAGGUGAUGAAGUUAUAAUCACUAAGG